UACGUAGGUGGCGAGCGUUAUCCGGAAUUACUGGGUGUAAAGGGUGUGUAGGCGGGACAGCAAGUCAGGCGUGAAAACUAUGGGCUUAACUCAUAGCCUGCGUUUGAAACUGUUGUUCUUGAGAGUCGGAGAGGUAAAUGGAAUUCCCAGUGUAGCGGUGAAAUGCGUAGAUAUUGGGAGGAACACCAGUGGCGAAGGCGAUUUACUGGACGACAACUGACGCUGAUACACGAAAGCGUGGGGAGCAAAC
rnacentral:rRNA from 1 species